rnacentral:tRNA from 1 species
GGCCCCGUAGCUCAAUUGAAUAGAGUAUCUGACUACGGAUCAGAAGGUUGAAGGUUUGAAUCCUUCCGGGGUCAC